rnacentral:rRNA from 1 species
GAUGAACGCUGGCGGCGUGCUUAACACAUGCAAGUCGAACGAGAAGUGAAGACGCAAACUUUCCGGCGGAAGGCUUCAUUUCGAGUGGCGGACGGGUGAGUAACGCGCUGGUAACCUGCCUCAUACAGGGGGAUAACAGUUGGAAACGACUGUUAAUACCGCAUAAGACCACAGCAACGCAUGGUGCGGGGGUAAAGACUCCGGUGGUAUGAGAUGGACCCGCUUUCCAUUAACCAGAUGGAGGGGUAACCGCCCACAACAGCGACGAUCGAACGCCGGUAUGGGGGGAUGGCCGGCAACAUUGGGAGUGGGACACGUACCAAACUCCUACGGGAGGCCGCAGUGGGGAAGAUGGCACAAUGGGGGAAUCCCUGAUGCAGCGGCGCCGCGUGAGUGAAGAAGUAUUUCGGUAUGUAAGGCUAUGUCAGCAGGGACGAAAAGGACGGAACCGGAGAAAGAGGCCCCGGCUAACUACGU